rnacentral:misc_RNA from 1 species
ACUCUGUCACGACACAGACGGACAGGGAGGAGAGAGAGAGCGCGGGGCAAGACCGCCGGGCAACCACGGCCACCCAAGGCGGCCACUAAGAGGCACACUGCGCGCCUUUGUUUUGUCUUCCUUCACGCGUUUGUGGUGCGGAAUGUUUGCCACUCGGGCUGGCUUGUUUGCCGCAUCCCAGCGGCGGGCUCUUUGGUGGCCACGUGCGAUUCAAAGGCGAGACGGCGUGAGAUGCGCGCCAGAUGACGCGAUGGGAGCUUGCGUACUCCCUGACGCGGUGAUUGACGCGUGUGUGCCACCGCGAGCAGCAUCUCGCGUGGCCUGUGGCGCCUAUACGCCCUGGCCCCCGGCUAUUUUCGCGUCGCUCCUGUUACGCAUUCCGUCUGCUCCAAUGUGCCUGCGCGGGUGCGGCACGGAAACCAAAGACCAACUAGCAUCCUUGCCGGGCGAGAUGCUGCAUAUUACUCAUUUCUCUGGUGAGGCCUCGCAGGCACCGGCGCGCUGCACGGUUGGCACGCUGUACGACACACUGGUCCACACACAGGGCUGCUCCUUGACCGCGCCUCCUUCCCUUGAGGUGUUUUUCGUGCGUCUUGCAUCCUUCGCGCCGCUGUUUCUGCGCCUCACCCCCACCAGCCACCCUGGUGGUGCUGCCCGCCAAGACAGCGCUGAGAUGCUUGUGGAAUACUGUGCGGGGAUGACUGCCUCGCUAUAUUCCACUUUGCACCCCUUCACGCGGCGCCUGCUUCGCGAGGUGCGCGUGUCAUGGCAACCGUGGCUAUCUUCGCCCAAGAUAGCAAGAGUCAUUGCUGCUGCUGGUGGUGGUGGUGCUGCUGCUGACGGUGAUGGGGGUAACGAGCGCUCUGUGCGCGAGCACGUCUCGCCGUCUUCCGUGUCCGAUUCCACGGACUCUUCUCUGGAAGCGCUGGGCUGCUUGCCAAGCGACAGUGGCCGUUCAGGCACGCGUGCAGGCAAGCAUCAAUAUGCGUGCACGUCACAAGAUGCCGUGACGGCUGAGAACGCGUGGCAGCGGCUGCUAGAGCAUGUGCCGCCGUUCUUCGUGGCUACUGCGCGGGUACAGGCGAGUCUGCGGCGCGCGUACUCAGAUGACGAGGCGCUCCGCUUGUUGGAUGCGUGGUUAUCUCAAAGCCACUUGCAUGCCACCGCACCCCUUGACGCCGUGACAGACGCUGAGUGUAGAAGCCCUUUACGUCUGCGUUGCAAAGACAGCCGAUGCCGUGGCCCGUACGUGGAGGCGUCGCCGUGCGGAACGGCUAUUCGAGCUCCAUCUCCAGAGCAGUGUCUGCAAGCCGGCUGUCCCGCGCGGCUAAUCUAUAAACCUCAGCAUGCACCUGCCGCACUUCACGAAAAGUACACGCUUUUACAUUGCGUCGACGACUGCGGACCGUGGCUGAUGCACAUGGCACUUGCGCUGGUGUGCGCCGUGGUCCCUUCAACUCCUCAGCCACUCUCUGUCGUGCGCCAGAUUUUCUCAGGCCACCAGCAGCAGCAGUGCUCGCUCCGGCAGCAAGAAGAGCACUCUGGGAAAGCGAUCGAAGCGGCUGAAGGACUGGAUAUUGCACCCGCAGCGGCUCAUGCAGCGUGCGCGUCUUUCUUCCCAUGUGUGGAGGUGCUGCUGGACCAUCCACAGCUCGCUUUUGCAGUGCAAGUGACAGACAGGUCAACCGGCUACGUCUGCGCACGCUUUCCGGUGCCAAGCGAAGCUGGUGCGAGGGCGGCGGUGCCAUCCAACAGACUGCAAAAGCUGCAGGUGCAGCUGCAUCCGUCGUUUUCGCAUGCGCAGCGCGGCAGGGCGGAUGCGGCGCUGUCUGUGCUGGAGAAGAUGCAGCGCAUGGCGAUGCUAGCGGAGGUGCCGCGGCCUCAACACAAGUGCGACGCCACUUUCGACGUUUCACAUGUGUGCACUGUUCGGUUCCACGAUGCGAGGGAUGGCGUAUUGACCGAGUCGCUGGAGGCUCUGCUGCAACUGCUGGCAAAAGAGUCGGCAACGACGCUUGCAGCGGGGAGCGCAUCGGAUGCAGAGCAGGCUUUUUUUGUUGGCGUGAGCGAAGUUACGGGUCUUGGUGACGAGGCUCCCAUUCGACGGGAUUCGUCGACAGCAGUGCACGAGGCACGGUGCGCUCCGGAAUCGCCGCGCCUUGUACUUCUCCUCAGCGCUGUCCGCAACGAUUCAAGUGGUGUGGAUGUGGUUGCCGUUGAGGGACGUGCGCUGUGCUCGCAGCUGUGGAGAAUGGGGGCCGAUGAUGCGACUACGUAUGCAGCGGACGAAGAACAGGUGGCAACCGCCAAGGACAGACUUUUGCCCGUUCUCGCCAGAGUACUGCACUCGCCGACGUUGGUUAAGGUGCUGCCGUCCUCCGCGUUCGCGGAAGACUCUCUCUGUGACGCACACCUUCUGCGGCAACGCGGCCCUUCUGCCGUGCGCUGGCUAAUCGACUCCCUUCGCAGCGAAGCGCUUACUAGUGUGUGUAGCCUUGAGCAUAUCGCUCACUACGUCGGCUACCCGGUCGACGGUGCCAUGCCGCUUACGCUGACGAGCGAGACCGACUCGCUACUAGCGUCCACCAUCCUCGCUCAUUACGGGAGCGCCAUCGACACAACAACAACACAGCAAAGGAGCGGCAGUGGUGGCGAGACUAGGGGCUCUGCGCUAGAACAGAGCACGUGUGCACGUGCCAUCUGUGGAGCUGCGACGAUCUCGCUGGCUGCCUCGCUGCUUCUGCAGAAUCACGCGCAGGAGCACCCGUUGCACGUGCCCGGCAAAGAACGCGGAAAGCAUAAUGAUGGGAGCGCGACUGAGUCGACACUGGGCAUGACCCUGUCGUGCGCCUUGCAGCAUUGGGCGCGGAAGCCGGCUCUGGCACGCCAACACGGACUCGCCCUGCGUCUGGAGCGAUUUCAGCGGUGGCUGGCCCACGCUACGGCCGGCAAAGUGGACGACCUCAUCGCGCAUUCUCGGGUCUCUUCAGAUGCGGCGGCGCGGCACCUUCCCAUGGCGUUUGCUGCCAAGCAGCAAUGCCUCGGCGGCCACGAAGUGACUCUUCGGGACCUUGUCAGCCACUUUGGACCGGAGCCGCUGCCCAACCCGUGUUGGAUGCGUGGAGGGCAAACGGCACACGCCCGAAAAGUCAAAAACGGCUGUUGCGAUGCCGGUGUGGGAACGGUGAAGGACACGGGGGGCCAGAUAGUCAAGGCAAAAAGAUCGGGCUCAGAGGAAAAUCCUUCUCUGCCGUUCUCUGCGGAGGUUUCUGCGUCGGAAGGGCACGUGGACGUCGAUGCUCUCGUGCAUGACGCGCUGGUUCAGGAGGCUGCUGCAGUGCUUCAGGCAGUAGCGAGGCAUGCGUCACCCACCAACAUAGCGGACUCGGACGCCGCGACGAGCACUCCGCUCCAUAACGACACCGGCCUCCCACUAACUCCAAAAGAGGCGUCGACGGGCGCUGCAUGUUCUCCUCCACCUCCGCCUCCUUGCUCACCACGGUCGGACGCUUGCGCGACGUCAGGUGCGGGUGCUUCAGUCGAGGAAGACUCGCUACAGAGUUACCUGUCGACGCUUUUCGAUGAGCCCGACGCAAGGCCAACGACAACGACAUCGCUGCAGACGCCUAGCCCGGCUGCGCAGUCAUCUGCUUUGACGUCGUCGGCGCCGCGACCGGAGAGGGUGACCAAAGGCGCGGACCCUGUCGUGGCGCCGAAUGUGGUGCCAUCGCUGCGAUCAUCUACAGCUGCUUCCGGCGCAACUGAUCUGUCCACUGACCACCUCCCCGCCGCCCCUGCCUUUCACCUAGCUGCAUGUAGUUUUGAAGGUAGCGGGAGGGACGACCCACCCACGGCGGAGGCCCCGGUCAGCAGAACUCGUGCUUUGCCGGUGGGCUUUCUCUACGGCCCCGCCUCCUUCAUCACCACCUCUAAAUCUUCCACAGCAUCAGGGCUGGCGAACGCGAAGAGCGGCGCAGGCGAGCUGAGCCACCCCGUGAACUUCCCGGUGUUUCCCGGUUUACAUGGCAGUCGAGAAGCGCCGCGACAAGGAUGGCCGCCGCCGCCGAACCAGUCAGCAUCCAUCAUGGAGUCCGAAAAAUCAGCACCGUCUUCUCGGCAGUCACCUUCGGCAGUGCUCGCCACAUACCACCCACCAUCGCGCGACGCCAACUUUGCACCGGUGGCGCGUUUUGACCGCUUCGCACCGUGGAAGCAGUCAGCGCCUAGCGCACCAAACCCGCAGAAUUCACCUCCCUCUCCGCGACCGCAGUCGCCGCUCUCCUCCUCGUACGCGAUACCGUCCACGUGUCAGAACGAGUCAGCCCAACCGCCGCGGCCAGCGUCUCUUUCCUCCGCGACACCCACGGGGUCUUCACUGGAGACGCUUUUCUCGUUCGACCCUAAGGACGCCGAGCGGCUUCGCUUGAGAUCGCUGCUGGUCGACACCCUUCGCGGCACCACUAAGCGGCCACCACCAUCGCCGCGCCGCUGAGGACUUUACCACCUGCGUCCCGCAUCGCUCCACAUGGGGCCCAUUUUUUUCUUUGGGUCUUUUUUUUCGCGUGCUGUCACGGUAGCGCUACGUGGACUUCCCCCCUACUCCCCCCCCACCUACCGUCUUCGCACCUUCGAGUGAAAGUGCGGCGAAAACGAAAGGCGGUGUGCCGCCUCACGUCGAGUUGCUUCGUUCCAUUUUUUUUCUCUUCUUCCGUGUUUCUUCUCUGCUUUGGCUCUGCUCGUGCGCCGCUUCUUGUGUGUGCGUGUGCUUGUGUUUGGUUGGCUUACGCGGUUUUGCGUGCUAAAGAAUCUCGGCCCGUCUCUUUUUUGUGUUGUGUGUGUGUGUGUGUGUGAAGAUUGAGGCGCUGCUGCACCCCGCACCACCACUGCUGGUGAUGCGUGCUGCCAACCGCCAGGAUCGGACAACGGAACAUACGCCUACUCGCAGUCGACGCCGGCGUUACCGGUUUACCGGUCCUCUCUUGUGUGACGUAUGCGUUCUCUCUUCUGCAUGCUCCCUCCUUUCUCGCCCAUGAUCCUCUCCCGUGUUGGGGGCGAGUUCUCACUCGCCCAUCACCAACGUUUUCCACCAUCAACCUGCACAG